AUUGCACGCUGGCGGCAGGCCUAACACAUGCAAGUCGAACGAGUGGCGGACGGGUGAGUAAUGUCUGGGAAACUGCCUGAUGGAGGGGGAUAACUACUGGAAACGGUAGCUAAUACCGCAUACCAUCGGAUGUGCCCCGAUGGGAUUAGCUUGUUGGUGGGGUAACGGCUCCCCUAGGCGACGAUCCCUAGCUGGUCUGAGAGGAUGACCAGCCACACUGGAACUGAGACACGGUCCAGACGCCUACGGGAGGCAGCAGUGGGGAAGAUUGCACAAUGGGCGCAAGCCUGAUGCAGCCAUGCCGCGUGUAUGAAGAAGGCCUUCGGGUUGUAAAGUACUUUCAGCGGGGAGGCGUUACUCGCAGAAGAAGCACCGGCUAACUCCGUGCCAGCAGCCGCGGUAAUUC
rnacentral:rRNA from 1 species